AGUUUUUCCAUUCUUCCAUAUUUAGUGUUCAUCAAAGUCAUGCUUCUUCGAGUGAAACUCUGUUCAUUUAUAAAUAAAUAAAAAGUUGUGAAGAAUUUUUUCUAGUUAUUAUCCAACAAAUUUAUAACCUUAACUUCAAUUUAAUCAAUGCUAAAAGAAAACAAAAUGAUUAAAAGAAUAAGACUAAGAAAAUAAGAAGCCUCAGUUGCGAUGAAUUGUUAUUUAAUUAUAUUAUAAGUGUUUUUCAAAUUAGGAUUCUUUAUUGCUAUAAAAACAUGGUAAUAAUUAUUAAGAAAAGAAUAACUUAUAUAACAAAUAAAUUUUCAUGUGACAUUAUAAAAUAUGUACAUAUUUACAUGUUUCUACUUUUGAUCGGUUUUGUUCGGUUUAUUCAGUUUAAUCGGUUAUAAACCAAAUCAUAUCCGAAUCCUACGUCUUUUAUAAAAUCAUAUCAAUUCGGUUUAUAUUGUAUAUACCAAAACCGCACCAUAUUGUCUAUUUCGUUCGGUUCGGUUUAGUACGGUUCGGUUUUACCAAAUUGGACAGGCCUACCCGAAAGCCCAGCCCUAGUUUUAAUAAUAUAAAUAUAUUAUUGAAAUUACUAAAGUGACACUAUACUUCUUUUUUUUAUAGUGCUGUGUUAUCCGUGUUUCCAAACAAAUUCUCAUUUAUAUUGUUAUCAAUGUUUCCAAACAAUUUCGAAAGGUACUUUAGUUCUUUUUUUUUGUCAGCUACUUCAGUUUUAAAAAUAUAGAUUUGCGAAAUGAUUUGAGUAUUAGUGUCAAUUACAGAAUUGGUUUGAAUUGUUAAAUUAUCUUAUAUAAUAAAAACAUGUUUGCUCUCUCCUGGUUAAAACACCUCAACGUCUACGUCAGAAAGUCGAUUCCCGUAUGCGUGACACGUGUCCAAAAAAUAAUGCGCAGCGUUUCAUUAAUUUUGGUUGACAUAUGGGCUUCAUAUCAUUGCUUUAAUUAUCUUUCACUUUUGUCCCAGCUCGAGACGAAUAACGCUCCAAUAUUUUUUUCUGAUUGGAAGACCGGCCGAUGCUCCUCCACCGUUCAAGUGAGGUUGCUCUGUUUUUGGGAUGCCAGGAACGUCCGACGCGGUGGGAAACUAUGGGAGUCGAUAUGUUGCUGCUUGAUUUCCAGGCGAUCAUGAUGCCGGCGACAGUGAAUGUAAACCGACUUGUAACUCACAGCCUAAUACAUCUCCAGAUUUAACCUACGCAGGUUACAUGUAUGGCAACAACUAGAUAGGGAUUAACGAAUGAUCAUAGUAUGUGACAACCUAGGUCAUGUUUUUCUUUUUCAGGUCUCUCUGUUUGUUCUAUUAUUGCGAAUCUGAUUUGAGUUUUGCAGUAGUCACUCUUGGGUUGGAUCUUCUGCUCAUAGGUCCAUCUCUGUUCUCCGGAAAAUUGAAUAAAGCCGCGAAUUGCGAAAGAGGAAAAAGAAAGAGAUCCAAAGCUCCAAUGGAGAGGUACAUGCAUCUGCGUAUUUACUGACUGAUAUACCCACGAAAGAGAUAAUUCAUUGUCAGAUGGUUGGUGCACUUAAAGAACUGGAGAAGCUCUGGCUUGUGGUAUUGACCAUGAGAUCAAUGUUGGAUAGUGAAAACGAACAAAGAUAAAACUAACAAGAAGAGGGAGGAGAAGAAACAAGAGAGUGCGAUGAACUGAUUAUUUAACCUGUUAGAGAGAAGAUGGUUAUGCCCCAGCUGUUGGAAUGAAGUUUGAGUCAUGUGAUGAUGAUUAUAACUGCUAUAACUGCUGCGGUAAGCAUUUUGGGUUUCUGGUUAGAGUAAAGAGCUCAUGGUUUUGAUCGGCUGAAAGUUGGUAAAGGAAAUAAUUUGCCUCAUUACUACUACUCUUGACAAACCCAAAUUCUUUCUAAUGAUGGUCCACAGAAGAGUAGACUUAAGUGAUGGAUAUAAACGAUGAAGGUCAACUAAGGAAUUGUUCCGGGCAGAUAUGCUUUCUCUAAAGUCUCUUGCACAUAUUUUGGUGACAUAAUAUCCAGAAAUUUCGAGUUAUAUUACAUAUCAGGGAUAGUGGGCUAUAUUAUAUUCUCAUACUGCUUUUUGUUUUUUUCUGUUUGAUUUAGUGAUUAAUGGUGGGAGCUAUUUUUUUCUGUCAUUGCAGUUUUAUAAAAUCUGCUAGCUAUAUUUAUCUUAUGAGAGUUGUUGAAAAAAUCAAUUACUGGCAGGUGUUGUUGAAAAAAUCAAUUACUGGCAGGUA